rnacentral:tRNA from 2 species
UGCGGGAUCGUCUAAUGGUAGGACACGAGACUUUGGAUCUCGGUAUCAUGGUUCGAAUCCAUGUCCCGCAG